GGAUGUAAAUCUUUCAAUUUCUCCGUACAACACUGGUUACAAUGUUAGUCCCAGCAUUUGUUGCGCACCAUUGGCAUCCAAUGAAACUCUGCUAAGAGGAACCUGUGAUGGACACUCUCAGCUCUACCUCUACCUGUGAGGAGGAAGUCACCGAGACCUCAAAGGGUACACCAACAAGGCUUUCCCCUGCCCCAUCACGAUGUUCGGAGUGCAAUGAAUCCGAUACAAAUCUAUUUCAUCCAGAUAGACCAGCUGAUGGUGCCUGAGAUUUUCCGGCAAUUUCUGAUUUUGUUUCCGAUUUCCAGCGUCCAGAUUUCUUUGGUUUUCUGUUGGAUCAGAGUCAAGGAGAUAUAAAGAAAACCACCCAUCCUGAUGGGUGCUGAAGACCUGUCAGAAGCAGGACCAGAUCAAUCUUUUGAAGUUACAGCACGGGACUGUACACAUAACAAACAAUGCAAGAAGCAUGCAAUAUCCAGGGUUAUGACAUUUCGCAAGCAACAGAUCAGAUUAAAGCUCUAUACUGUUAUCGCAACCACUUGUGAAUAAUGGUUGGCCACGAAACAUCGAUAGGAAGGAAGAGUCUCCAUGAGUGUCUCCAUCUCAAUGGUGGCAGAGCCUGGGCACACAAUUGUUAAAGAAAUGCUGUAUCUUUAAAUGUCAAUACAUUUCAGCUUUCUCCUGAGGAGUCCAACAUUACAGAUGACAGUCUUCAGCCAAACUGAUUCACUGCACGUGAUAGCUACAAAUGUUCAACAUCUCAUCUAAAUAUUGCACUGUAAUGGCAACCAAGACGAUGCUCCAAAGUCUCACGGUGGAGUGCGGGUACUGAUGUUUGACCUUCUGUCCAGAGAUU